rnacentral:piRNA from 1 species
UGGAGCCACGGUGACUGUCCUGGACAGC